rnacentral:rRNA from 1 species
GACGAACGCUGGCGGCGUGCUUAACACAUGCAAGUCGAGCGGUAAGGCCCUUUCGGGGGUACACGAGCGGCGAACGGGUGAGUAACACGUGGGUGACCUGCCCUUAGCUCUGGGAUAAGCCGUGGGAAACUGGGUCUAAUACCGGAUAUGACUCCAUGACGCAUGGUUGUGGGGUGGAAAGCCUUGUGCGGCUAGGGAUGGGCCCGCGGCCUAUCAGCUUGUUGGUGGGGUGAUGGCCUACCAAGGCGACGACGGGUAGCCGGCCUGAGAGGGCGACCGGCCACACUGGGACU